rnacentral:ncRNA from 1 species
UCCUGAAAAGGGUAAACCCGUCGAAAGGCGGGGACGCAAAGUCACCGGUUUAAAAGGCUUCGGCCUCAUGACAGCGGGACUGCCAGG